rnacentral:tRNA from 1 species
AGGUAAGUGGCUGAGUGGUUUAAGGCGUCAAUUUUGAAAAUUGUCAUGGUAGUCCCAUCAUAGGUUCGAAUCCUAUCUUACCUA